rnacentral:lncRNA from 1 species
GCUAGGUGAAACAGGUCUUGUAGUCCUAGCACUUGGGAAGUACUCUUCAGUUCCUCAACUAUACAGCAAGUUUGAGGCUAGUCUGGGCUAUAUUUUAUAUAUAUAUAUAUAUACAUAUAAAAUGGAUGGAUGAUUGAUACCUGGAUGGAUAGAUAAAAGAUAGACAAGCAAAAUAAAUCUGGGGCUAGAGAGAUAGCUAAGCCCUUGCCAGAUAAUCCUGGUGACCUGAGUUUGAUCCUAGGUACAUAGGUAAAAAGAAAGAAUUCCAUGAAGUUGUUCCUUGAUCACCACAUGUGAGACAUGACACAUGGACCCUCCCACCCAACACACACACACCCUAUACACAAAAAUAUAUUUUUAUUUUUAAUUUAUUUAUGUAUAUAGGUAUUUUACUUACGUGUAUGUUUCUGUACUGUGUACUACAUGUGUGCCUGGUGCAGAAGCCAGAAGAGGGCAUGAGAUCUCCUGGGACUAGAGAGUUGUAAGCCAACAUGUGGACGCUGCCAAUCCAACUCAGGUCCUCGGGAAGAACAGCUAGUGCUCUUACCUACUGAGCCAUCUCUCCAGCUCCUAAGUAAAUGUGUUUAAACUGAUAGAUUUUGUGUUCCACCUAUCUGAGCAGAAGAAAACUAUAGCUGUUAAAAAAUGCACCAAGGAUGGCUAAGUGGUGGUAGCACAAGCCUUUAAUCCCAGCCCUCAGGAGGCAGAGGCAGGAGGAUUCCUGAGUUCAAGGCCAACACCUGGUCUGCAUAGUGAGUUCCAGCCAGGGAUACAUAGAAAAUCCCUGCCUAAAAAAGGGAAAGAGAGAGAGGGAGGAGAGAGGAGAGAGAGGAGGAAGGAGAGAGAGGAGGCAGAGGAGUGAGAGAGAGAGCAGAGAGGGGAGAGAGAGAGGAGAGAGAGGGGUAGAAAGGGGAAAGAGAGAAGAGAGAGGAGUGAGAGAGAAGAGAGAGGGGACAAGAGAAGGGAGAGAGAGGAAAGAGAGGGAGGAGAGAGAGAGAGUAGCCCAAGCCUUUAAUCCCAGGCCUCAGGAGGCAGAGGCAGGAGGAUUCCUGAGUUCAAGGCCAACACCUGGUCUGCAUAGUGAGUUCCAUCCAGGGAUACAUAGAAAAUCCCUACCUCAAAAAAAAAAAAAAAAAAGAAAAGAAAAUCCCUGCCUCAAAAAAGGAAAGAGAGAGAGGGGAGAGGAGAGUGAGGGGAUAGAGAGAGCAGAGAGAGGUGAGAAAGAGGGGAGAGAGUGGGGGAGAGAGUGAGUGAGAGAGGUGUGGUAGCACAAGCCUUUAAUCCCAGACCUCAGGAGGCAGAGGCAGGAGGAUUCCUGAGUUUAAGGCCAACACCUUGUCUGCAUAGUGGGUUGCAGUCAGGGAUACAUAGAAAAUCCCUGCCUCAAAAAAGGAAAGAGAGAGAGAGGAGAGAGAGAGGUGAGGGAGAGAGAUGGGAGAGAGAGAGAGAGAGGAGAGAGAUAUGGCUAUUCCUUGUCAACUUGACUAUAUCUGGAAUGAACUACAACCCAGAAUUGGAAGGCUUACCUGAGAUCCUGAUCCUGAGUUGGGAGAUAGAAGUGUCUGACCUGGAUUUUGGUAUAGAGAUCUUGAGGCCUAAUGGCUAUGGAUUCCAGAAGAUUAAGACAGGGAGAACUCUGAGCUCUAGGUCAUUUAGGAUUAAAAGUGUGGUGGCACACACCUUUAAUCUGGGCUACACCUUCUGCUGGAGACUACUUAAGCACAUUGGAAGAUGGAAGAUUUACUCUCUCUGUCCUUCACCUCCUUGCCUUGUGGGACUGCUAGAUCCUUGGACUUCCAUUCAUAUACAGUAGGAAAGAACCAACACCUAUAUGUUGUCCCCUGGCCUGCAAGGGUGCACAGGAAAGCAUUUGAUGUGCUGGUGUGAGGACCGGAGCUGGCAUUUUCGAGCCCACAUAAAGCUAGGCAUGUUAGCACAUAUCUGUAACGUCAGCCCUCCUACAGCAAGAUGAAGGGUAGAGACAAAUGCAUCCCUGGGAGCUUUCUGAAGGGCCUGCUGUACACCGUCGCAAUCCUCAAAGUUCAAAGGUGACAGCCUAAACUUGGGGUCGUCCUGACUGCUGUGCACAUUUGCAUUUGCACCCCCACUCAACACACACACACACUAACUAUUGCUUACCUCAUCAACUUGUUGGAAGGGUUAGCUAAAUAUGUCCAAAGUGCUUAGAGAGGAGAGCCUGGAAUCCAGUCAACCUCUGUACCUACAGUUUCCAAAGCCAGAGACUCAAUCAACCUUAGAUUAAAAAAAUAAAAUAACCAACAAAAAAAACUUUGAAAGCUGAGCAUGGUGGCACAUGCUUUUAAUCCCAGCACUGAGGAGGCAGAGGCAGGUGGAUCUCUUGAGUUGGAGGCCAGCCUGGACUACAGAGUGAGUUCCAGGACAGCCAGGGCUAUACAGAGAAACCUUGUCUCAUCUCCCCCCAACCCCCGACCAAAAAGAUAAAAUAUUUCACAAAUCUUUUUCCAAGUUGUAGUGCAUGCCUAUAAUCCCAGCAAUCUGGGGGCAGAGGCUGGUGGAUCUCUGAGAUUGAGGCCAGCCUGAUCUACAGAGCAAGUUUUCUAGGAUAGCCAGGGCUACACAGAGAAGCUCUGUAUCAAAAAUUAAAUCAACAACAACAAAACACUUAGAAGAAAAUUGGGCUCUUGGUACAUUGCUCUAAGCCUAGCACUUGAGCGGUAUAGAGGCAAGAAGAUCAGGCAUUCAAGGCCAGCCUGGGCUACAUAAGACCACUAAGCCAUCUCUCCACCCUUCUCUGCCCCCUACCCCGGUAUUUACAUUGUAUUGGGUAUCAGAAGUCAUCUAGAGAUGACACAUCUACAGUUCAGGAGAAGUAGACCCAUGUUGGUACAUACCUGCUGUUAGCAUUUUCUCCAGGCUCUAUUUCACAGUUACCUGGCAAUAGCCAGGUGUGCCUGACUGCUUGCUCUCUCUGCUCUCUCUUGCCUCCUUGCUCUUGUUCUGUCCCCCUCCCACUUCUCUCUCCACAUGCUCAUGGCCAGUCUCUACUCCUCUACUCUCUCUCUCUCUCUCUCUCUCUCUCUCCUUUUCUCUGCCUCUACUACCCUCUUAACUCCCCUCCCCAUGCCCUGAAUAAACUCUAUUCUAUGCUAUACUGUCUUGUGGCUGGUCCCUCAGGAGGAAAGGAUGCCUCAGCAUGGGCCCACUGAGGCACCCCCUUCCCACACACCUGACUGCACACCCACCAGAUGUAUUUCUUUUCUUCCUAAUCUUUUUAUAAACACAACACCUGUAAUCCCAGCAUUCCUAAAUCAGAGGCAGGGAGAUAGAGAGUUGAAGGCUAGUCUUGGCUACACAGCAAGUUCAAGGCCAAACCCUG